rnacentral:tRNA from 1 species
GGGCGAUUAGCUCAGUUGGUUAGAGCGCUACACUGAUAAUGUAGAGGUCGGAAGUUCAAAUCUUCCAUCGCCCACCA